rnacentral:rRNA from 1 species
AACGAACGCUGGCGGCAGGCUUAACACAUGCAAGUCGAACGAUGUAGCAAUACAUAGUGGCGCACGGGUGAGUAACGCGUGGGAACGUGCCUUUUAGUUGGGAAUAACCACUGGAAACGGUGGCUAAUACCCGAUACGCCCUUCGGGGGAAAGAUUUAUCGCUAAAAGAUCGGCCCGCGUGAGAUUAGGUAGUUGGUGGGGUAAUGGCCUACCAAGCCUACGAUCUCUAGCUGGUCUGAGAGGAUGAUCAGCCACACUGGAACUGAGACACGGCCCAGACUCCUACGGGAGGCAGCAGUGGGGAAUAUUGGACAAUGGGCGAAAGCCUGAUCCAGCAAUGCCGCGUGAGUGAUGAAGGCCUUAGGGUUGUAAAGCUCUUUUACCAGGGAUGAUAAUGACAGUACCUGGAGAAUAAGCUCCGGCUAACUCCGUGCCAGCAGCCGCCGUAA